rnacentral:lncRNA from 1 species
AGAGCCUUUACAAAGGUGAAGAUGAUAACCUGUCUUGAAAGUCACUAUGUGAUAGAGCAGAUACCUGUGGGGGGAAAUGAAAACCUCUGCCUCUAUUAACAGAAUAAGUACAAGUUGCUCAGCUAUAGAACAUAACAGUAAUUUAUCUUGGCUUAUAAGUUUGGUUUUACUUUGUCUUUUUUUUUAAAUUUAGCUUCAGUUUAUUAAUCUUUGAAAUUAUGAUAAGAGAAAUGUAAUUCAUAUAUUAAAUGCCUGGGGAACAAUUUCCUGAUGGGAUCAAGUAGAUGUCAUCAAGAGAAAAUUUUAAGUUUUGUGAGUGGGAUCCACACAUGUCAUGCUUCAAGUAUCUCUUUCUAUAUAACUUAAAACAUAUAAUUUGAACAUCAAGCAAGACUCCAGAUUAUCUUUUUUAUGUGUGACACCAAAACAAUUUCCCAUCUCUAGCUAAGUCUCAAAUGGAUCAUUCCUUGUGCCAUGGUUAGUUUUUAUUGUCAAUAUGGCAUGACCUAGAAUCACCUGAGAACAGAGUUUCAAUGAGGGAUUAUUUAACUGAGAUUGACCUGUAGGUAUAUUUGUGGAGAAUUUUCUUGAUUGUAUUUUAAUCAAUUUGACAGGACCCAGCCCACUGUGGGUGGCACCACUCCCUCAUUAGGGAAUCCUGGACUUAGACUCUGUAAAACAGUGGGCUGAGCAUAAGUAAGCAUAUAUGCAUUCAUUUAUCCUCUCAGAUCAUGAGUGGAAUCUGACACAACUAGUUGCUUUGUGUUCUUGCCUUGUAAUGAUGGACUAUAACUUGGAAUUAUGUGCCAAAACAAAUCCUUUCUCCCAGGUUUCUUCUGUCCAAGUCUUUUGUUACAGUAAAUCAGCAGACCUUGAUAAAUUUCUUUAUCUUCCAUCUUAAGCAUUAUCCCAUAAAAGAAUUCAUAGUCAAAGAAGAAUUUAAAAUGUAAAGAAUUUACCUGUUUUUUUCUGUUUAAUAUUAUUAGAUUUGCAUUCUUAUAUGUUUUUGAGGAAAUAUUCCUUAAAAUCCUAGUAUAUGACAGAUACUAUUCUGCAUAAAAAUAAACAAAAGGGGUGAACAUCCCUGUCAUUGGGUAAUUUAUGUUUUAAUGAAUAAGCCAAUUCUGUGCACAAGGUAAGAUUUAUAAAGGAAUUAAGAUGCAAAGGAGCCAGCUUGACUAUAUGAAGAGGGGAGACUGAGGUUGAGAAUGUAGGCUAAUAAUCAUCAGAAGAUGUUCUCAGAGUGAGUAUUCAUGCAGAUAUCUGAACAGCAUAAGCUCAAGUAGAAGGAAUAGAAUGUUCAAAGGUCAGGAGGCCCAACUGCUCACGAAGAACCAGAGGUGAGAAGUGACCAAGGAUGAACUUUAAGGAAUUGCCUUAUUAUUUCCUGUCUUCAAAUAACUUCAUGAAUGAAAGAGCAUGUACUUCAAACCUUGGAAAUGAAUGAGUGAGCCAUUUGCAUUUAUUUUUAAGCCCUCCCUUAGACAAUUUUCUGUUGGAUAUUGUGAUAAUGAAGGUGUUGCUGCUACCUGGACUCAUUGAGAGUUCAUAAAAUCCCUGUUCCGCUAUAUGAGAAUAGAAGAGCAAGUCAAACCCAGUUUAUGACACCUCUGACAUGGAACACAUGACCCCAGACAGUGUCACACAGGGUCUCAUUCUUAAAGGAAGACACUUGCCAUGUUAUCCUUGUCAUCAUACUCUCUGUUUUAAAAGACUUACAGGUGAUACAAAAUCUAUAGUGCAGAAGACAGAGAUUAUUGAAAUAUUGUACAUACUCAAUGGAUAAGAAAAGGCAGUAACCAAGUGACCACAGUUCUGUGUGGACCUACAUUCUAGACAGGCUUUAUAUUGUUUCCUAACAUGUCCAUUGCAAGCAGCUUUCUCUGUGGGACUUUGUUCUUUUGUGAUGACUGACAGGCAUGUUUGGAUGACAUUUAGAGGGCAGAACCAGGUAAGUCUUCACUUUUUAUUUAAAAGCCUCCAGCUACAUUAUAAUCAUGGAAGGGAUUCAGGGAACCUCUGUUCUCCCAGUGGGAGGGAGAGAACUCAAAUCCCAUCUUUCUGACCAGUAAUCAAAGUCCUACUGACUCAGGGCUUUGUUUCAAAGGCUGCUGAUUAUGAAGGAAGGGACCAGUCCCACUGUCUUCCAAAUCUGUCCAUAUCUAGCUAGCUAGGUAACAAUGAGCUUCCCCAAUCACACACAGAGCUUGCUGUAGAUUCACCAGUGGAUACCAGCUGGGUAUUUUCCAUCUAGUUUUGUUCUGACACUGUCCUGUCUAGAGAUAUCAGAUUCAAUAGUGCUGGCCACACAGCCUUUCCCCUUUCAGAUGUCAAUUGCAAACACAAAGUGCUGCCCUAUUCUCUAAUCAACCUGUUCUGUAUUUUUGGUUCCUACCUACCUUCUUCUUUGGUUCAAUUAAUUCUCUGGAUUAUCAUAGAACUUGGGGAAAUAAUUUUACUUACAUUUUCCAGUUUCAUAUGAAGGAUUUUAGUGAAAAUUAAAAAAAAAAUUGAAAGGGCAUGGGAAAGGAUUCAGAUGAAAAUCCAAAUGGAAGAGAUAUGCAGGACAAGGCGCUUAGAAAAGGAUGGGGAGUUCCCCCAUGCUUUCUAGACAUACUACUUUAUAACUGCCACAUUUUCCACUGGCUGGAUACUUCCAAAUGAGCCUUGUCCUGUUGAGUUUACAUGCAGGCUUCAUUAUUCAGGUAUGGCCCAUUAAAUCAACAGCCAUUGGGAAGCCACUUUCUCAUGAGCCUUUCUCUCCUUCCCACAGGAUAGGUAUUCAAUCCCAACUGUCUUCUCAUGUCUUAGUCUUUCUUGGUACCAGCUUUCAUCUGAAGUCAUCUAGGGGUCUCCUCAGUAACAUACAAAUGACAGUGUUCACACUUGGAGAUGACAGGUUUGGGGAACUUUAGUGUAAGGACAAAUUCCAAUCACGUAUUAUAAUCCCAUGAGGCACACACAGUUUAAGCCUUUAUAAUCUGCAGUGAUAAUCCAUGUAAUUUUAGAUGAAGGUUGUGAAUGUCCAUCUUUGUUAUAGAUUUUUCUUAUUCCUCUUUCUUCACUGGACUAUUCUGAGAAACUGAGGCCUACUGAACAGGAGAUCCAUGGCAACAGAACAGGAAUUGAAGUGUGGACAGACAUCCCUUCAAAGUGACUGGCACCUGAAUGCUCAGAGCUCUGAACUGGAGGACUCCCUGCAUUAGUCACCUUUCAGAUUACUGUGACAAAAUAGU